UUCGGAAUUACUGGGCGUAAAGGGCUCGUAGGUGGCCAACUAAGUCAGACGUGAAAUCCCUCAGCUUAACUGGGGAACUGCGUCUGAUACUGGAUGGCUUGAGUUUGGGAGAGGGAUGCGGAAUUCCAGGUGUAGCGGUGAAAUGCGUAGAUAUCUGGAGGAACACCGGUGGCGAAGGCGGCAUCCUGGACCAAUACUGACACUGAGGAGCGAAAGCCAGGGGAGCAAACGGG
rnacentral:rRNA from 1 species